GAUUGAAGAUCUUGGUAACUGUAUUUUUUUUCCUUCAGAUGGAGAUGUUUUGCUUAGGUCUUGAUCUUUCAGGGGAAGAAAAUGAGGACAUCAUCAAAGAGAUGUGUGUGAGAUUUCCGAAUUUAACUGUUUCCCUAUCCUGCUUCUUCUUUUUGCCUUUUUGGAGCAUUUGCUUCUGACCAGUAAUAUAUUCAAAUAAACAUUUCUAAGCAGCACCCUAUACUGUACAUAUGGAAUGCAGUAUAUGGAAUCCGCUAUUCAAAUAAGCAUCUCUAAGUAGCACCCUCUACUGUAUACAUGGAGUACAGUAUAUGCAAUACAGUGAGAUUUAAAAAAAAGCAAGCCUGGGAGUUCCCAUCGCGGCUUCGCAGGUUACGAACCCAGCUAGUAUCCAUGAGGAUGUGCAUUUGAUCCCUGGCCUUGCUCAGUGGGCCAAGGAUCCAGAGUUGCCACAAGCUGUGGUGUAGGUUGCAGACGUGGCACAGACCAGGCAUUGCUAUGGUGUAGACUGGCAGCUGGAGGUCUGAUUCGACCCUUAGCCCAGGCACGUCCAUUUGCCACAGGUGUGGUAAUAAAAAGGAAAAAAAAAAAAAAAGCCUCAAAAUGUUGAAUUAAAAAAGUUAGACAAUCUGUUCAAAACAGGGACUUUAUCAGCUAUUAUUUCCAUCGCUAUACACGCUCGUCCCUAACAGGCAUUGCUAAUAGAGUGCUGCAGUCAUUCAUGCGGUCUGGGUUACAACCUCGGAAUCUCUUCAGCACAGCACCAGGUAACAGCUUCUGGUGCGUAAGAAGGUCAGACUAAGGGACAAACGUAAGAUGCCUCCCUCGCCUCGCCCCCGCCCCCGCCCCAGAUCGCGCACCUGCUCAACAGCAGCAGCGUUGGCGUCGGGACUCAGCUUUUCCAGAUGGGGCGUUCGUAACUCGGUCCCUACCAGACUGACCAGCCAAUCUCGAGGAAAUUGUUUGCUACACACCAAUUGCCUCAUUUUUUAAAGAAAGCUCCUGUGGCUGUAGAAGCAGUUUGGAACUUGCCGAAGCAGUGUGAAGCGUGAGAAGUGAUGCCCAAGUGCGAGUGUUAUGGUUUUCAAAUCUGUCUUUUUGGUAUUUUGAGUGCAAAAAGGAGUUUCUUGGAGAAGUCGUUCAUAAAUCCAAUCAGAAAUGUUCAAUUUCUGCACACACGGAUGGGCAGCUACAACAGGG
rnacentral:lncRNA from 1 species